AAGUCGUAACAAGGUUUCCGUAGGUGAACCUGCGGAAGGAUCAUUAAUGAGAACAUGUCCUCUUGGACAUAUCUCCCACCCUGUGUUUAUAAUACUAUUGUUGCUUUGGUGGGCCCGUUUCACAACCACCGGCUUUAGCUGGUCAGUGCCCGCCAGAGGACCCUAAAAACCAUUUAUCAUGUUGUCUGAGUCCAUUAAAAAUAAUUAAAACUUUCAACAACGGAUCUCUUGGUUCUG
rnacentral:misc_RNA from 1 species